AUAUAUAUGGUGUUCUACAGAACAAUAUGUUCCAAGUGUGUAGCUUUCUGAUGAAGUGGCUUAAUACAGGGUAACACCAACUAAGGUAACCACAGCGAGGAAGUUAUGAUAUCUUUUAGAUCAGCGUUUCAAACUGGGUUCUGUAGAUGGCAGGACAAAAGAGGGUCUCUACAAAUGUUUAAUUUUAAUUUGCUUUAAAUUUGUUUUAAUUCAUUUAUUCAUUCUUUUUUUCAACUUUUAGAUUCAGGGGUACAUGUGCAGGUUUGUUACAAGAGUAUAAUGUGUGAUGCUGAAGUUUGGAGUACAGUUGAACCCAUCACCCAGCUAGUGAGCAUGAUACUGAAGCCAUGGAGAAGAGGAGACAGAGUGUGCAAGGGAAUGAAGAAAAGGAACAAGACUAUUUUCAAAUCACCCAUGGCACUACUAGAAAUGUAUUUCAGCAAAAGGACUGGCUGAUUUUAUGAUUCCUGUGUCCACCACAGCCCUCUAAUUUUUACAUAGGUACCCCACAUCUCUCUAGAUUUCAGGAAGACUAUUAUCCUUCGACUUUAGCUUUCUGAUGGGUUCACAAAAAGCCAUUAGUGUGCUGUUGGUCCAGCUUUUUUCUGUUGCAAAUAUGAGAGCUACAGUUCUGAGAUGAAACCACAGGAUGUUCUUUCUCUAUGUAAGGAG
rnacentral:lncRNA from 10 species